AUUGAACGCUGGCGGCAGGCCUAACACAUGCAAGUCGAACGAGUGGCGGACGGGUGAGUAAUGUCUGGGAAACUGCCUGAUGGAGGGGGAUAACUACUGAACACGGUAGCUAAUACCGCAUACCAUCGGAUGUGCCCAGAUGGGAUUAGCUCGUAGGUGGGGUAAAGGCUCACCUAGGCGACGAUCCCUAGCUGGUCUGAGAGGAUGACCAGCAACACUGGAACGGAGACACGGUCCGGACUCCUACGGGAGGCAGCAGUGGGGAAUAUUGCACAAUGGGCGAAAGCCUGAUGCAGCCAGGCCGCGUGUAUGAAGAGGGCCUUCGGGUUGUAAAGUACUUUCAGCGGGGAGGCGUUACCCGCAGAAGAAGCACCGGCUAACUCCGUGCCAGCCGCCGCGGUAAUUC
rnacentral:rRNA from 1 species